rnacentral:lncRNA from 1 species
UUUGCAGCCAAAAAAGGAAAAUGGAUGAAAACACGGGAAAGAGGCCUAAAUUAAGAACAACUAUCUCUUUCUCUUUGCUCUCGGUUUGCUCAGAUUGAAGAAUCAGAAAAGCUCCAUCUGAAUCUCAUAUCCUCUUCCUCGAGUUCCAACUUAAUACAAUCUUCAAAUCUAGUUAUGUCUUUCUUGCUUUCCAGGUGGUAUUCCGAGCAUGUUUUCUUGUUUUACCCCUCAUUUUUCCUUCAAUUUACAGGUCUGUUACCCUUCCCCAAUUCGUUGUUUGAUCGGUGCUAAUCAGUAAGCAAUCUCCCUCUUCUUGUUGUAAUCUUUUAUUAUUAUUAUUAUUAUUAUUAUUAUUAUUAUUAUUAUUAUUAUUUCUUCUUUUUCGGUUAGAUGCAUAAAAUGGGAAAUUGAAUUUCUUUUUUGUUGUUUCUCCAUUUUUUAUUUGUUAUAGACAAUAGAAAAAAGUUGGAAUUGAUUCUCUUCAUGGGGAUGUGAUGUCUUAUGUUAAUUUGACUUCCAUUAUAUGGUUGCAUCUAUUUACUUGUGAUAUAAGAAACGUGGGUUCUCUUUGUUUAGAUCCAAAAGCUUGAAAAUUGGUAAAGAAAAAGAUACAUGCAAUCUUUUGCUAUGAUGUGAGUUGUGUUUGAUUAGGGGCUCUUCGAUAGGUCAUAGACUUAUGGAGCUGCUUUUAUAGUCAUUUGUGUGUAUAUGCCUAACUGGUUUUCGUAAUUUUGGAUUUUUGGAGGAGUAUGGGCUGAUUUAUUAUUAGGUCUUUGAUUUAGUGUAUAAUUCAUACGCUUCAUUCAGUGUACAAGUCAUAUGCUUCAUUUGAUUCAGUGUAUAAUCACUUCUGCAGAAGGUAUUGAUUAGAACUUGGAUAUUCAUAUCUCCUUAAAGAGGUAUAGUGAGCAAAAAAAUAACCAGGAUAGGCAGGGCAUUUUUAUUCUAUUUAAUCAAGGGAACACCCAAUGAGGAGUUUCAAUCAGUAAGAGGAAGUCCAACUCGUGAAUGAAUUAUCCAAUCAUACUGACAAAAAUAGUGCGCUCUUCAUAAACUAAUUGGCCAAAAUUCCUUUUGUUAGAAAUAAGGUAGAUUUCUAUAGAAUAAUGAUAACCUGAGAGCCAAGAAUGAUCGCAUCUUUUUCCAGUAAGCGUCAGAUAACUCGUAAGGUUGAGAAUUUCUCUGCCUCAAUGUAACGUCUUUUUCUCUGCUGUGCACCCACUCCAUUAUGUGUUAAAACUGAAUAUAAUAUGCUUUCUAGGACUAACCUUAAUAAAAUUUGACUCCAAGACUCCCUCUUGCCACAGAUUCAGUUAAACAAAAUUGUUAAACUACUGAGAGUCUAUACUUUCUUACAAGUGAGGAAAACUUUCACAAGAAACUCAGAUGCUUAUUGAAAUGUAUCUUAAUGAAUCGUCCAACUUGCAAGAUCGAUUUGUAGUUAUAAUCGCGUCUAAUUUCGUUGAAUUAUGAUUUUUUUUCAAGGGAUUGAUAAUUACGACUCGUUUGUAGUGAAAUUAUAUCUGCAGUGUAUCGCUUUUUUUAGUAUAAUAAUGGAGAAUUUUUUUCAGGGGAGUGAAAGUUAAAAAAUUCAUAGUCGACACAAAAGCUCAUUAAUUCUGUUUGAUAGACUUGUGAAUUUCAUGUAACUUUUAAUACAUUUAUAUGUUGCAAAUUUGUAUAAUACAAGUUUUUCCUCCAAGUCAUUGGUGGUUUAUUUGUUAACUUGUUCAGCCAGGGAAGGAAUGGAACCAUCAAGUAUUGGGAUGUUGGAGAAGGGGGGUUGUCCAGGUACUUAUCUAUCUCUUGUCCAUCUCAGGUUGGGAUAUGAGUUGUGUUGUUUCAGUACAAUAUAUUGCCUGCUUAGAACCUGACUUUUGACAAUGACUAUUAGAAAUAGUUAAUGGCUUGCUUCCUAUGUACACUGAGCUCUAGGUGCCAUGUACUUAAUGGAAAAAGAUUUUGUUUAUUGAACGUAAAUGUGUUAUAUUUGCAUAACACUACAAAAUUAACAAAUUGAUUCUAUGAAAAUAAAUUGUAGAAGAGUAGAAUUAUAAUUUAAUUUCAUCAUCCACAGUUAAAAUAACUUGGAAAAUUGCAUCUAAUAAAAUAUACUAAACUAUAGUUUCAGGAAAAAAAGGUUACGCAUAAUCACUAUUAUGCCCUUGUUUGAGCCCCAUUCUUGUCAAAAAAUAUAUUUUUGAAUAGUGUAUUGAUGAGAAAUGUGUGAUUAAAAAAUGAAGAAAAAUCAUUUUUUAUGUAUAAAAUAUAUUUUAUCGAAAAAUGUGUGAUUGAAGUGAGAUCAAAUCAAUAUUUGAGAAUGUAUUUUGAUAGGAAAAAUGAGGUAUAUGGUAACUGUGUGACAUGGACUGAAGUUGAUGCUAGACUUUUGAAAUAAUUUGUACGCCUGAAGUUUUAAUUAAGACAGGUUUUACAUUUCUUCAACAUGUUUCAUGUUAUUGAAUUUCGAUUUAUGUUUUUGUUUCGGUUUGGUCACUCUGUAUUUAUGCACGAUUAAAAACUAUCAUCCCGACUCAAAAUGAGGUGGAAUUUGCUACUCAUUAUUGUAUAUUUUUCAUUGUUUGCGUAGUGAUGGAAAUGAAAAAUAAUUACAAAUGGAAUUGGUUUUAACAACUUCAAACAAUUCAUGAGAUAUGAACGAG